GAUAACAACCUUUUUCGCCUCUUUAGGCUUCGUCCGGAUCGUUCGCUGGUUUUAGCCUAGGGUUUGGGUUUUUGUUCCCCCUUCCUCCCCCGCGAACCAUGGGCAACCACCACUAGUGGAAGCGCGACAAAGCCCCGGCAAUCCCUCCGGAUGCUGCCAAUGGCGGCGGUGAAAUCGACCUCUCCCAACUGGAGGUGUUGGAGAUGUCGCAGGAUGGCGGGUGGAGCUGCUCGACCUCUGCGCCCUCAAGAAGCAGGUGCUCUCUUCGAGCGCCGCCUCCGCGACAAGGUGAAGGCCUGCAUGAAGGACUCCGAUGCGCCGGAGAAGUUGGCUGACUCCGAGGUCGAGUCCACGACGAGAUCGAGCGCCUCAAGGUCCUCGCCGGUGGACCGGAGCUCUCUACCAGGACCUUGUCGACCUCAACAUCGUCCCCUACAUCGUGCCUUCUCGGCCACGAAACAAAAGACGUCUCUGUCGAUGUCGUCGGCCUCCUUAUGGACCUUACUGGCGAGAGGACGUCCUUGAGGACAACGACGAGCCCACCCGCUUCCUCGUCGACGCCCUCGCGGAGAAUAAUGCCUUCGAGCUCCUACUCCAGAAGCUCGACCACCUGCUGAGUCCGGCCCUGACGAGGUCGCCGCCAUCCACAACACCUUCGCCACCAUCGAAAAUAUGACUGAGGUCAAGCCUGCAGUCGCGGAGCUCGUCUGCGACCGGAUCAAGCUUCUGUGGUGGCUCCUGGGGAGGAUCAAGGUUGGGAGUUUGAUGCCAACAAGCGGUAUGCCUCGGCGAUUCCUGCUGCAGGACAGCAUGGCGAACCAGAAGAAGCUAGGGCAGAUGAACGGGGUUGCUGCGGUGCUGCAGGCAGUGGCAAUGUACAAGCCGAGGGACCUGAAGAGCUCCGACGAGGAGAUGCUCGGUAACCUGGUUAUGCCGAUAGAGAACAAAGAGAGGUUGUUGAAGUCGGAGGGAGUGGAUCUGAUGAUCAUCAUAAUCAAGCAUUAGAAGUCUGCAUAUGGGUCCGCGAGCGGUUUGUGGAUGUGUUGGGGUUGAAGACGGCAUUCGCCGCUUUCAUGGAUUCUUCUGGGCAAGCAAAAUAAGAAAAAGGGCUACCAAGAGGAGUUGGAAGAGCAUCUGAUUUCACUGGUUGCACUAUGAUUUGUUUCGUAGGUGGAUGAAGAGGAGCAUUGCAAUCAAAACUGGAAGGAGUGUCAUGAUAAUAUUGGAGAUCUGGAUAGACAAGGAGCGAGCACAAGCAAAGAUCCAAAAAUUAAUUGCUGUAUUUUGAUAUCUGUUCCAGAAAGCAUCAGUCAUGGGGAUUUCUGUAGUCAAAGGAGUGCUGAAGGCAUGCAGAUAGACAAAGUUCUAUCAUGGGAUGCAUGUGGAUGUUAACAUGAUAUAUGGCUUCUGAGUUUAACAUGUUAAGGCAUAAUAGCAAAUUUUAAGCAGUUCACUUUUUCUUUUGUUGUAACUUAAUGGCAUGUUAUUUUUGAGAAGCCAGUGCAUUGUCUUAGAAUUCCUGCAUAUCAAAGAUUCAAAAUGAAGCUGCUUGCCAA